UCCAUCAUGGUGUAGUGGCUAACAUUAUCGCCUCUCAUACUGGUGAACGCGAUAGCCCAGGGUUCGAUUCCCUGUGAUGGAA
rnacentral:tRNA from 1 species